rnacentral:rRNA from 1 species
AUGAACGCUAGCGACAGGCUUAACACAUGCAAGUCGAGGGGCAGCGGGGUGUAGCAAUACACCGCCGGCGACCGGCGCACGGGUGAGUAACGCGUAUGCAACUUGCCUAUCAGAGGGGGAUAACCCGGCGAAAGUCGGACUAAUACCGCAUGAAGCAGGGGCCCCGCAUGGGGAUAUUUGCUAAAGAUUCAUCGCUGAUAGAUAGGCAUGCGUUCCAUUAGGCAGUUGGCGGGGUAACGGCCCACCAAACCGACGAUGGAUAGGGGUUCUGAGAGGAAGGUCCCCCACAUUGGUACUGAGACACGGACCAAACUCCUACGGGAGGCAGCAGUGAGGAAUAUUGGUCAAUGGGCGCGAGCCUGAACCAGCCAAGUCGCGUGAGGGAUGAAGGUUCUAUGGAUCGUAAACCUCUUUUAUAAGGGAAUAAAGUGCGGGACGUGUCCCGUUUUGUAUGUACCUUAUGAAUAAGGAUCGGCUAACUCCGUGCCAGCAGCCGCGGUAAUACGGAGGAUCCGAGCGUUAUCCGGAUUUAUUGGGUUUAAAGGGUGCGUAGGCGGCCUUUUAAGUCAGCGGUGAAAGUCUGUGGCUCAACCAUAGAAUUGCCGUUGAAACUGGGGGGCUUGAGUAUGUUUGAGGCAGGCGGAAUGCGUGGUGUAGCGGUGAAAUGCUUAGAUAUCACGCAGAACCCCGAUUGCGAAGGCAGCCUGCCAAGCCAUGACUGACGCUGAUGCACGAAAGCGUGGGGAUCAAACAGGAUUAGAUACCCUGGUAGUCCACGCAGUAAACGAUGAUCACUAGCUGUUUGCGAUACAGUGUAAGCGGCACAGCGAAAGCGUUAAGUGAUCCACCUGGGGAGUACGCCGGCAACGGUGAAACUCAAAGGAAUUGACGGGGGCCCGCACAAGCGGAGGAACAUGUGGUUUAAUUCGAUGAUACGCGAGGAACCUUACCCGGGUUUGAACGCAUUCGGACCGAGGUGGAAACACCUUUUCUAGCAAUAGCCGUUUGCGAGGUGCUGCAUGGUUGUCGUCAGCUCGUGCCGUGAGGUGUCGGCUUAAGUGCCAUAACGAGCGCAACCCUUGCCACUAGUUACUAACAGGUGAUGCUGAGGACUCUGGUGGGACUGCCAGCGUAAGCUGCGAGGAAGGCGGGGAUGACGUCAAAUCAGCACGGCCCUUACAUCCGGGGCGACACACGUGUUACAAUGGCGUGGACAAAGGGAAGCCACCUGGCGACAGGGAGCGAAUCCCCAAACCACGUCUCAGUUCGGAUCGGAGUCUGCAACCCGACUCCGUGAAGCUGGAUUCGCUAGUAAUCGCGCAUCAGCCAUGGCGCGGUGAAUACGUUCCCGGGCCUUGUACACACCGCCCGUCAAGCCAUGGGAGCCGGGGGUACCUGAAGUCCGUAACCGAAAGGAUCGGCCUAGGGUAAAACUGGUGACUGGGGCU